GCCGUUCAAUGCUGCGCUCUGCCUGCUGUCAGGCUCUGGCGAGCCACGUGGUCUAAAGCCGCAUGGAGAGCCCACCAUCAUCAAAAACUCACCAUCACAACCGUGAAGAACGGUGGUGGUGCAUCAUGCUGUGGGGAUGCUUCACUGCAGCAGGCCCUGGAAGGCUUGUGAAAGUAGAGGGCAAAACAUAUGCAGAGAAAUACAGGGAAAUCUCGGAGGAAAACCUGAUGCAAUCUUCAAGAGAACUGUGACUUGAGAGAAGAUCUGUUUUCCAGCAAGACAAUGACUCCAAGCAUAAAGCCAAAGUUACACAGAUCACAGGAUAUUCCCAGAGACAGUUGUGCAACAAACUAGCCUAUUCCUUUUAUAUUGCCACUGGAUUUUCUUAAAAAAAAAGUGAAACUCACUGUGGGAAAUGUAGUGGAGACAGAAAAGCCCAUCAUUAUUUAAAAGAGUGCUUCAACAAUGUACAGGGCUAAGGAACAAGAGAUGGUGAAGAAAUAACCUAAACUGUUGCAGUUUUCACUGACAUGCACACAGAGGACCAAAUGCCUGCCUUUGCACCAGAAUUAUUUUGAUUCUGUGAUAGAGAUAAUAUUGCACGUGAAGGGAGAGACGUCAUUUCAGUUUCUUCUCCGAUUGCCGUGAUAGAUCAUCACACAACUUGUACUUCAUCACAAUUCAUGCUUAAUCAUUUCAGGAACUGGAAUAGUAUCUCUAUAUGCUACAAUACUCAAAGUGGGAUUAGUAGGGUGUGAUACUAUUGUUAGCUAAAGCUGAUUUCACCUGCCUGUAAAUUGAUGAAAAUAUAUUUCUGUAAUUACUAAUCAGAAUUCAUUACUAAUUAAACCAGAAGGCAAAUAGCUUGAACUGAAAUGAUAGCCUCAAAUUGUUACCAAUGUAUUUUUCCACAUUUUAUUCUUCUAACGUACCUGCCAAAUGAACACACUGAGUAAAGUACAAUACUGUGUAUUUUGUUGAUCUGUGCAUUUUUGAGUAUUGGAAUUUGAAGAUGAUUGUAUUUAACUUUUCGUGCUAUCUUUAUGUCAUUGCAGCUCUGAAGUUCAAUCAUUAAAUAUUUAAAUACAUGCCUAAAAAUAAUAAUUGGAUUUAUGAUUAUUAUUGCCGUUAUUUUAUUUUUAUUCAACUGAUUAUUGAAAAAUAAAUGUUAAGCUCAGCCUGACACAAAUAUAAAUGAGAAACAAAGGGUAA